rnacentral:misc_RNA from 1 species
UCGAGAUAAAAACAUGACAAGUUGUUGCUGGCCUCCUUGGCAAUUCGUGCACGCUUGUUAUUUCUCAUUUACACAUCCUUUGUGCACCUUCUGUAGAUUUGGUUUAGGACUGCUUAGCAAGGAUUGUCAUCUAAUCUUUGCAGGCUUUCCUUAUUAUUUCAGAUCUAUGUUUUCAUAUACUCCAGUGUAAUUGAAGGUGAAUUGAAUGGCACAUCUGUGUCUUUAAUAACACAUAUA